UACCAGCACCCCGAGUGGUCGGGACGUUUAUUGGGCCUAAAGCAUCCGUAGCCGGUUCUACAAGUCUUCCGUUAAAUCCAGCUGCUUAACAGAUGGGCUGCGGAAGAUACUAUGGAGCUAGGAGGCGGGAGAGGCAAGCGGUACUCGAUGGGUAGGGGUAAAAUCCGUUGAUCCAUUGAAGACCACCAGUGGCGAAGGCGGCUUGCCAGAACGCGCUCGACGGUGAGGGAUGAAAGCUGGGGGGAGCAAACCGGG
rnacentral:rRNA from 1 species